rnacentral:rRNA from 1 species
GUGCCAGCAGCCGCGGUAAUACGUAGGUGGCAAGCGUUGUCCGGAUUUAUUGGGCGUAAAGCGAGCGCAGGCGGUUUCUUAAGUCUGAUGUGAAAGCCCCCGGCUCAACCGGGGAGGGUCAUUGGAAACUGGGAGACUUGAGUGCAGAAGAGGAGAGUGGAAUUCCAUGUGUAGCGGUGAAAUGCGUAGAUAUAUGGAGGAACACCAGUGGCGAAGGCGGCUCUCUGGUCUGUAACUGACGCUGAGGCUCGAAAGCUGGGGAGCAAACAGGAUUAGAUACCCUGGUAGUUC